AAAAAUUUGGAUUCCUGGAUCCUACCUCAGACUGCUGAGUCAGAAACUUCAAGGAUGAAUUCCAGGAAUCUGCAUUUUU
rnacentral:miRNA from 1 species